rnacentral:pre_miRNA from 1 species
GAGACACCCUUAUAGGGCAGGACGUGCUUCAGUGGGGCUUUGGUGCUCACUGAGUCUUCCCCCUGAGUGUGUCUCU